rnacentral:Y_RNA from 1 species
GGCUAGUUCAAAGGUAGUGAGUAAAUUUCAAUUGAUUGUUCUUGGUCUCUUUCUCUCCCUUCUUACUACUGCAGUUGACUGAUCUUUA